AGUGAACGCUGGCGGUAGGCCUAACACAUGCAAGUCGAACGGCAGCACAGUAAGAGCUUGCUCUUACGGGUGGCGAGUGGCGGACGGGUGAGGAAUAAAUCGGAAUCUACUUUUUCGUGGGGGAUAACGUAGGGAAACUUACGCUAAUACCGCAUACGACCUACGGGUGAAAGCAGGGGAUCUUCGGACCUUGCGCGAUUGAAUGAGCCGAUGUCGGAUUAGCUAGUUGGCGGGGUAAAGGCCCACCAAGGCGACGAUCCGUAGCUGGUCUGAGAGGAUGAUCAGCCACACUGGAACUGAGACACGGUCCAGACUCCUACGGGAGGCAGCAGUGGGGAAUAUUGGACAAUGGGCGCAAGCCUGAUCCAGCCAUACCGCGUGGGUGAAGAAGGCCUUCGGGUUGUAAAGCCCUUUUGUUGGGAAAGAAAAGCAGCAGGUUAAUACCCCGCUGUUCUGACGGUACCCAAAAAAUAAGCACCGGCUAACUUCGUG
rnacentral:rRNA from 1 species